rnacentral:rRNA from 1 species
AAAUUCUCAACGGUGGAUGUCUUGGUUCCCACAACGAUGAAGAACGCAGCGAAGUGCGAUAAGCAGUGCGAAUUGCAGAACCGUGAGUCAUCAGAUUUUUGAACGCAACUGGCGCCGUGCGGGGUGACCCGCCGGCACGCCUGGUCCAGUGUCUUGU